UACGUAGGGUGCAAGCGUUGUCCGGAAUUAUUGGGCGUAAAGAGCUUGUAGGCGGUUUGUCGCGUCUGCUGUGAAAUUUCGGGGCUCAACCCCGAACUUGCAGUGGGUACGGGCAGACUAGAGUGUAGUAGGGGAGACUGGAAUUCCUGGUGUAGCGGUGAAAUGCGCAGAUAUCAGGAGGAACACCGAUGGCGAAGGCAGGUCUCUGGGCCAUAACUGACGCUGAGAAGCGAAAGCAUGGGGAGCGAACAGG
rnacentral:rRNA from 1 species